GUACAGUACCAUACAGAAGUGGUGCACUAAAACUGUAGCUGAGAAUUGCUCUGCCACAAUUCCAAUAAUAUUUAAUGCAUUAGUUACCCGGAAGUGUUUUAAUUCUGGCCUCUGCUAGGACCUUCCGCAAUGCAGGCACUGGAACUGCCUGCCAUAUCAAUUCUCAGUAUGGGAGGAGGGUGUAAAUUUUAAAUGAAAUUUUGAGAUUGACAAUAUAUCAUCUAGGCAGCAGAAAACAGAACAAGUUACUUUGGUCUGAAAGCAUUCAACUAGGAUUUGUAAAUGAUAACCUAAAGUGAUUCAUGAUUUCUGUAUAUUACAGAAUGGUCAACAAGACUGGUUCUGUGUGAUUCAUUCCCCAGCUGCUGCUCAGGAAAGGGUGAAGAUGGAAACAGCAGACCAUUAGUGAUGAUAUUCAAAGAAGAAGCAGUUUCCUUACUCCUACUUUCCACCUCAACAACACACAAAAACAGGGCCAAGGGAUAUCUCUUCUCUCCUGCAUAAAAACAAGAGGCCUCUUCUCUUCCCUCUGAGAUUUGACUCCACCCUCACGGCCUUCAAGGCCCUCAGGGACUGCUGGC
rnacentral:lncRNA from 1 species